UCAACUUUUAACUCCACACCACAGUAGGAAGCAGCUAAACAGAAAAAAAUGGGAUAAAGUUUACCUUUCAGAAAUAUGCCAAGUAACACACUGCAGCACGCUAAGACUACAAGGACUGGAGGCUGAGUGAAGCUAAACUGCCCAGAAGCAACUGUCCAUAUUCAUUCUUGCACCACAGUUCAACGAUUAACUUUGGGCAUGUAAAAAGACCAUACAGACGUAAUUGCCGGAAACAUUGUGAAGAAGCUGAACUGAGGCUGAAGUUUAGAACUAAAUUGCGCUGAUUUUUCUUCAUUAACAUUAUACUAAUGGCAUCUUAGUGAGGUGCCACCAGUACUCCUCGUUCUUUUUGCUGAUACAGACUAACACGGCUACCACCCUGAAACCAUUCUACUAAUGGAAAUUAGUUUUCUGUCUUCAUUACGGCAAUGUACAGCACACUCUUUUGAAAAUGUAAUUAAAGCAAAGAGUUGUAUAUUGUGUAUUUUAAUAGACUGCUCAUUCGCUGAGUAAACUUAAAAAAAUUAUUCUGUAAUCUAACAAAAGUAAUAGUGUGUGUAUCCUAACAGAACUAUAAAACUAAUUUCUUGGA